rnacentral:RNase_MRP_RNA from 13 species
AGCACGGCUUCGCAGCGCACAGGCGGGGAGCUCGCUCCCACUUCGACGCUGCGGGGGAAGUCCCCGUGCAUCGGGGCAGAGAGCGCCGGCGGGAGGCCGCAUGGCCGAGGCGCGAGCGCUGGCGGCGAGGCGCAUGUUGUUAAAAGCGGGGAAAUUUAGAUUCCCUCG